CCCUUAGAUGUUCUGGGCUGCACGCGUGCUACACUGAUUAUUUCAACAAGUGUUUUAACUGGAGAGUUCGCGUAAUCCUGAAAUGUUAUCGUGAUGGGAGUAGAGUAUUGUAUUUGUUAAUCUUUAACGAGGAAUUCCUAGUAAGUGUAGGUUUAUAAGUUGUUCUGAUUACGUCCCUGCCCUUUGUACACGCCGCCCGUCGCUCCUACCGAUUGAUUGAUCCGGUGAAUUACAUAGAAUUUUGCGUUUUACAUGACGGAAGACGAAGUGUUUUAAACCUUAUCAUUUAGAGGAAGGAGAAGUCGUAACA
rnacentral:rRNA from 1 species